rnacentral:rRNA from 1 species
GAUGAACGCUAGCUAUAGGCUUAACACAUGCAAGUCGAGGGACCGGCGCACGGGUGUGUAACGCGUAUACAACCUGCCCAUAACUAAGGGAUAACUCAGCGAAAGUUGGACUAAUACCUUAUGGUUAUGGACGGGGAUGCGUGUGCUUUGCUUGUUGGCGGGGUAACGGCCCACCAAGGCAACGUUCAGUAGGGGUUCUGAGAGGAAGGGCCCCCAGAUUGGAACUCAGACACGGGACAAAUUCCUACGGGAGGCAGGAGUGAGGAAGAAUGGUGGAUGAACGCAAGUCUGAACCAGCCAAGUAGCGUGAAGAAGGACGGCCGAUGGAUUGUAAACUGCUUGUAUAUGAGGGUAGGUACCAUAUGAAUAAGGACCGGCUAAUUCCGGGCCAGCAGCCGCGGUAAUUC